rnacentral:rRNA from 1 species
GUUGUAUGGUUAAGUGACUAAGCGUACACGGUGGAUGCCUUGGCAGUCAGAGGCGAUGAAAGACGUAGUAACUUGCGAUAAGCCCAGAUUAGGUAGUAACAACCAUUUGAGUCUGGGAUUUCUGAAUGGGGAAACCCACGUGCAUAAGCACGUAUCCUUACCUGAAUACAUAGGGUAAGGAGGCGAACCGGGGGAACUGAAACAUCUAAGUACCCCGAGGAAAAGAAAUCAACCGAGAUUCCGAAAGUAGCGGCGAGCGAAAUUGGACUAGCCCUUAAGCUUUACACGCGUUAGACGAACGGUCUGGAAAGUCCGACGAUACAGGGUGAUAGUCCCGUAGUUGACGACGUGUGUUCAGUGAAAUCGAGUAGGGCGGGACACGUGAUAUCCUGUCUGAAUAUGGGGGGACCAUCCUCCAAGGCUAAAUACUACUGACUGACCGAUAGUGAACCAGUACCGUGAGGGAAAGGCGAAAAGAACCCCUGUGAGGGGAGUGAAAUAGAACCUGAAACCGUGUACGUACAAGCAGUAGGAGCAGGCUUUGUCCUGUGACUGCGUACCUUUUGUAUAAUGGGUCAGCGACUUAUAUUCAGUGGCAAGGUUAACCAUCUAGGG